CACUUCUAUUUAAAUUUUUUUUCUACAACAGGUAAUAAUAACGUGUCCAACUCUCAUAAUUUUGAACCUUCAAAAAAUAAAUAAAAAAGAAUAAAAUUUCUCUCUCUUCUCACCCUUCGUCUCCCACACACAAAAUUUUCCUCUUUCAACCUAACCUCUUCGGCUUCAUCUCUCUCUUUCUCUUGAGCUUCAUCUUUCUCUUCAGCUUCAUCUCUCUAUUUCUCACUCACUCACACAGAACUUCAUCUCUUUGGCCAACAGAAUCUCAUACGCUUCAUCUCUCCCUUUCUCACUCACACAUUCAAAUCUCUUUUCAUUUUUGUUUUUUUAAGACACUUCAUGUCUCUCUUUCUCACUCAAACAUUUAGAUCUCUUCUUAUUUUUUCUUUUUUACGAUUCAUCAUGCCAAUGUUUAUCACUAACACAUUCAAACCUCUACUUAUUUUUGUUUUCUUUCUGAUUACAAUUAUGGUUGAGAUGAAUGAAUGAGGAGAAGAUGGGUUACAAGCAAGACUGUGAAACAUCAGAAACUUUGCACAAGAUUUGAUCUUUUUCGUUGUAGAAUGAAAAUGAGGUUGAAGACAUGUCAAACUCUGAAACAGCGAAAACUUUGCACGAGAUUUGAUCUUUUUCGUUGCAAAAUAAAAAUGAGGUCAAAGACAUGCAGGACUUUGAAACAACAGAAACUUUGUACAAGAUUUGAUCUUUUUCAUUGUAGAAUGAAAAUGAGGUCGAAGACAUGCAAGAUUCUGAAACAACAGAAACUUUGCACAAGAUUUGAUCUUUUUCGUUGCAGAAUGAAAAUGAGGUCGAAGACAUGCAAGACUCUAAAACAACAAAAACUUUGCACAAGAUUUGAUCUUUUUCAUUGCAAAACGAAAAUGAUCGAUUAUUUGUUUCAAGAAUACAACCAAGGUUUUCUUUCAUAUGAAUGACAUACAAGUUAUUAGAUGGAUGAAGUGUUUGAAGAAUACAACAAAGAUGAAUCAACUAUUUGAAGAAUACAACAAAGGUUGGCUUUUUUUUCUGUCAUGAAGGAAGAUCGAUGAUCUGUUUCAAGAAUACAACCUAGUUUUUCUUUCAGAUGAAUAAUGUACAAGUUUCUAGAUGGAUGAAGUGUUUGAAGAAUAUAGCAAAGGAAUUCUCUUUAAUGGCCAAAGAUAUGCAAUCAAUGUGAACCAUCAUGCUGGCUGUACAUUUGUGACGGUUGGAAAAGUCAUAAUAAAUAUUUAUAUUUGAGUGCAUUUAUA